AGGCAGCAGUGGGGAAUAUUGCACAAUGGGCGCAAGCCUGAUGCAGCAACGCCGCGUGAGGGACGACGGCCUUCGGGUUGUAAACCUCUUUUAGUAGGGAAGAAGCGAUGUGCUUGUCACAUCAUGACGGUACCUGCAGAAAAAGCACCGGCUAACUACGUGCCAGCAGCCGCGGUAAUACGUAGGGUGCAAGCGUUAUCCGGAAUUAUUGGGCGUAAAGAGCUCGUAGGCGGUUUGUCGCGUCUGCUGUGAAAACUGGAGGCUCAACCUCCAGCCUGCAGUGGGUACGGGCAGACUAGAGUGCGGUAGGGGAGAUUGGAAUUCCUGGUGUAGCGGUGGAAUGCGCAGAUAUCAGGAGGAACACCAAUGGCGAAGGCAGAUCUCUGGGCCGUAACUGACGCUGAGGAGCGAAAGCAUGGGGAGCGAACAGGAUUAGAUACCCUGGUAGUCCAUGCCGUAAACGUUGGGAACUAGAUGUAGGGACCAUUCCACGGUUUCUGUGUCGCAGCUAACGCAUUAAGUUCCCCGCCUGGGGAGUACGGCCGCAAGGCUAAAACUCAAAGGAAUUGACGGGGGCCCGCACAAGCGGCGGAGCAUGCGGAUUAAUUCGAUGCAACGCGAAGAACCUUACCCAAGACUUGACAUAUACGAGAACGGGCUAGAAAUAGUUCACUCUUUGGACACUCGUAAACAGGUGGUGCAUGGUUGUCGUCAGCUCGUGUCGUGAGAUGUUGGGUUAAGUCCCGCAACGAGCGCAACCCUCGUUCUUUGUUGCCAGCACGUAAUGGUGGGAACUCAAAGGAGACUGCCGGGGUCAACUCGGAGGAAGGUGGGGAUGACGUCAAAUCAUCAUGCCCCUUAUGUCUUGGGCUUCACGCAUGCUACAAUGGCCGAUACAAAGGGCUGCAAUACCGCAAGGUGGAGCGAAUCCCAAAAAGUCGGUCUCAGUUCGGAUUGAGGUCUGCAACUCGACCUCAUGAAGUCGGAGUCGCUAGUAAUCGCAGAUCAGCAACGCUGCGGUGAAUACGUUCCCGGGCCUUGUACACACCGCCCGU
rnacentral:rRNA from 1 species